GGCCGCCUAGUUGGUUAGAGCGUCCGCCUCGGGUGCGGAAAGUCGCGGGUUGGAACGCCGGCAUAGUCU